rnacentral:rRNA from 1 species
CCUACGGGAGGCAGCAGUGAGGAAGAUUGGUCAAUGGACGAGAGUCUGAACCAGCCAAGUAGCGUGAAGGAUGACUGCCCGAUGGGUUGUAAACUUCGUGUAUAAGGGAAUAAAAUGUUCCACGUGUGGGAUUUUGUAUGUACCAUAUGAAUAAGGAUCGGCUAACGCCGUGCCAGCAGCCGCGGUAAUACGGAGGAUCCGAGCGUUAGCCGGAUUUAUUGGGUUUAAAGGGAGCGUAGGUGGAUUGUUAAGUCAGUUGUGAAAGUUUGCGGCUCAACCGUAAAAUUGCCGUUGAAACUGGCAGUCUUGCGUCCAGUAGAGGUGGGCGCAUUUCGUUUUGUAGCCGU